rnacentral:tRNA from 1 species
UCCUCGGAGUGUGCCGGAUCCGCACGCAACCCUGCGAAGGUUGAAGACCAGGUUCAAUUCCUGGCGAGGGC